ACUGCAUUUUUAAAACGCGAGGAAAAUGACGGAGCCAGAGCACAUCUGUCCGAGCCGGGGGUGCGAGUAGUCACACACUCACACACACACACGCGCGCGCGCGCGCAGUCACACUCACGCGGGAGCGCUCUGAGCGUCCACCCGCGGCGGCAGCCUGCACUCACCGGGAAGGCAACGUCCGCGCCGCUGCAGGGCGGCGGGCGAGGGCCGGGGAGCCGCGCGGGCUGCAGAGGGCGCGGGGCCGGGGUCGCCCUCCGGUUCCCCCGCUCCCCGCGCCGCGCGCACGGGGCCGCUGCAGCCAGCGCUCGCCCCGCAGGACAGGCUGCAGCCGCCAGAGCCCGGCGCCUCCUCCCAGGCUCCUCCUGCGCCCGCCGGGGCCCAGAGGCAGGCUGGUUCUGCAGAGGGGCUGCGGACGCUGGGGCUGGGGCUGGGGCUGGGGCUGGGGCUGGGGCUGGGGCGGGGAAGGAAGGGGAUCCCGGUGAGGAGGAAGGCGAACCCGCGCGCGCCGCCUCGCUCCCACCCGCAGUCCGGAGUCCCGGCCCCGCGCCCGCCUCCCGGCUCUCCCCUAACCUCGGCUCCCGGACUCUAGUCCGCGGCGGGCUCCGGGGGCUGCGGCGACGGGGGCUCGGGCUCCAGACCGGCUCGCCUCGCGGGCAGCCUCCCUCCCGUGCUCCCCCAGCGCGGGCCGAGGGGGCAGGCGAGCGUCCCCGGGAGCCCCCGGCCGUCCGCGCGAGCGGCCCCGACCCCGCCGCGGCCAACCAGCGAGGACGGACGGGGGAGCCGGCGAGACGCAGCCGCGGUCCCCAAGGCGCUUUUCCGUGGAGCGGAGCGCGCCGCCUUACCGUGGCUGCAGGCUGCCACCGCCGGGGACGCGGGGAGGAGGGCGGCAGCGAGGCUCGGCGGCGCGGCUCCUCGGCUCCGCGAGCCCGAGCAGGGCGCCCAGGAAGGAGCGGGUCCCGGCUCCGCGCUCAGCUCCGGCGAGACCAGCAGCAGCCCCCGAGGGCAGCGGAGCCCGAGCGAGCCUGCAGCCGCGCGCGCACGCCCGGCUCCGGCUCCGGCUCCGGCUCCGGCCCGGCUCCGGCUCCCGCUCCCGCUCCCGCUCCCGCUCCCGGCCGCUCCCGCUCCCGCUCCGGCUCCCGCUCCCGGCCGCUCCCGGCCGGCGUCCCUGCCAGCACUGCUGCCCCACAUGAAACAGAUGGAAUCCCGAGGCUUCUGGGGGGUUGGGGCGGCUGCGUGCGAGCGCGCGCGUGUGAGUGUGUGUUUAAUAGCUUCCCUCCUCUUCUUCCCCUCCCUGCCCGCUCGCCCGCCUGCCUCCGUCCCCCACCCUCGCUCUCACACACACACAGGGCGAGCGAGCGAGCGAGACACACACACGCGCGCGCGCGCACACGCACACGCACACGCAGGUUACAUGAAUGGGAGGCGGGAGCCAGCCCUGCGGGGCCGGGCGAGCCGCGGGGCAGGGCCGCGCCACGGAGCCGGGGGCGCCACGCGGGGACGCGCGGCCUCCCGGGGCCCUCGCCGCCGCCCGGCGCGCCCGGGCUCUGCGUCCUCCCCCUGGCCUCCUUGCACUCCGCUCCCUUCUCCAUCUUCGCUCCCUUGUGUUGCCUUUUCUUUCUCGAAUCCUCCUAG
rnacentral:lncRNA from 12 species